AACCAAAUAAAAAGCAAGGAAAUUAUAUCUGUAUAUUCAAUAGAAAACAAAAAAUUUUUAAUUUGAUGCAGUAGAAAAAUAUAAUCCACCAUAACCAAGAAUAUACAUAUGUGAUUUGGAUCAAGAUAAAACAUUCAAAUUCUAUGGGAUUUGGUUUGAAAAGAAACAAAAGCUUAAUGCAUAAAAAGUAAGAAAGAAGAACAACUUGAUUUGUUUUGAAAAAUAGCAAUGAAAAUUCAAACACAUAGCAAUAAAAUACAACAACAAAGGACUGAAACCGCACAAAAGCCAAAAGCAAAGCCACUUGUCUACCAAAGAGUAUACAGGCAUAUUUCUCUACUCACUUGUGAACGUUUAUUGGUGUUAUAAUUACGCGAAUUCUGAAAUAUCAAACGCACAUCCUUUGCAAAGUCUAAAGGAUCUUCGUAAUUGCCACCGAGUAAAUCCUCUUUAACAGUGCGCAAAUCCAUUGGUGAGGAAAUGAUUUCCAGAUAAUCGGGGAAUUCAAGUGUAUCCACGGGUUCACGGAAGGGCAGUGAAUCGUUGCGCUGCCACAUUAAAUCUAAUAAUUGUCGACAUUCAGUACGCCAAUCACCA